UUGAAUAUAACUAUCUCUCAUUUAGUGUUAAAAAAUCUGCGUUUGCUGCUUCAUGUUAUAAUUUUCAUUUAAGAAAAGGAAACAAAAACUUUUUUCUCUAAAAGGCAUACUUUGAGAAUAUUAAAAAAGAAACAAGGUAUAAAGGUAUGAACAUGUCACCUACAAAAACAACGGUUUCAACGAAUACAUCACUGAUAUGGAAAAUUGCCGCCGUUUUCUUUCUGUGUACUACAUUAAUAUUCGUCAGUCUGUUUGUUUGGAGUGAAUUAAAAGGAGACACAGAUUCUGGAAAUCAAGUAACGCCAUGUUUUAGAUCUCAAUGCGAAAACGAUGGGAUUUGUUCGGUGACUGGUAAUAGCUUUUCCUGCAACUGUUUAAACGGUUAUUCCGGUUCAAACUGCGAAAUAAACAAUGGGUGGUUGGAUUGAUGUUAUGUGAUCCAGUGGCAAGUUAAGUGCAGGAAGAGGACAUGAUACUCAGAUAUACAUACAAUGUAAUAAACAUAUUUUGUAUAGAACUAGACCAAUAAUGCACUGGGCUCCUUUUGCACAUGCUAGUUCACCACAAGGAGAGAAUCUGCUAUAAGACAUGUCCCCCUACAUGAGCAGGUACCUUCAGACUGAACAGUGUAUGUUUUUCU